rnacentral:rRNA from 1 species
UUGGUGAACCAGCGGAGGGAUCAUUACCGUGAAACGCAGGCCCCUCGGUGGGCCGAUGCCUGCGCUGCCCGUGCGAACCAAGCCCCUUGUUGCCUCGGGGCCAUCCGGCCCCGCAGGACCCCCCCAUCCGCUGCACAAGAUGAUCUGGGACCCCACCAACCUAGCACAACUCCCGGCAACGGAUCUCUAGGCUCCGGCACCGAUGAAGGACGCAGCGAAAUGCGAUACGUAGUGCGAAUUGCAGAUCUCCGCGAGCCAUUGAACCUCUGAACGCACAUGGCGCCCGCCGGACCCCCCCGGCGGGCACGCCCGUCCGAGCGUCUGUUCCCUCGACCCCGGGCCCGGCCCGGUUGCUGGGCCCCCGCGGCUGCCGCGGGGCCCCGAAAUGCAGCGACGGCGGUCACGUGGACCCCUGGCAGAGCCAAGCAGGACCCCUGCGCCUGGGGCCCGCGGUGGUGGCCGUUUCCCUCCCCACAAGACGACCUCGGAUCGGGCGAGACGACCCGCUGAACUUAAG